GCCCGGCGCCUGGCAGAACCUCUGAGGGAAAAGGCAAGGAACAGCUGCGCUUGUUCUGCCCUUUCUUUAGCCAGGGACUGGAACACAGACAAAAUCGAGGGGCUCUUUGACCUGGGCAGGCUCCGAGCAUUUUUCAGCCUUCCCUAGCAGGGCAUUCUCACCCUCUGAAAAGCUGAAAGGCUUUAACAGCUGGAGACGCGCCUGCAGCUGUGCAGAUUAAUGUAGUUUCUUUUAGGAAACGAAGGGGAAGUUUUCCUGUUGUGAGCCUAAAUACCGAGUCUACUCUGCUUUUUCAAUCAGGUGACGAAGCUUCUGGAAAAAAAGACCAAAGGCCUCGAGGGAUGUUCUUCUUGAUCCCCCGGGGCAAAGGGAGGUGUCAGCGUCAGGAGCCAUCCUAACUGGGGCCCUGGUAGGCUCCCUGUUUUCCUUCGGUCGCCGUGGGUGUGCCGGAUGCCUCUGGCAGGACUAACCCUGUGGCUUUUAUGUCCAGCGUGCUGUGCUGUGUGUGCCUGCAGGUGGUUGGUGUUUCUGCAGUGUUUGGCACAGGACUGGGGGAGAUUUUUACCCAGCUUUCUAAAGCUGUAGAUGAAUAGGAGAGACUGAAUGCACUCCCUUUAUUCACCUUUUCAGAGAGUAUCGGCCAGAAUACGAGCGCCUGAGAAAAACACUGGACAGUUCUCUGCAGGCACAGCUACACAGAGUUUGGCUUCCCGGCGCUGCUGAAAACGUCCUAGAAUCCCACCUGACUGGAGGUUGCUUUCCACGCUUAGUCCGAAGUUCUGUGUAACCUGAGUUGAAAUAAUCCACAUGUAAAUCUUUGUCUACGGGAGAAAGCUCAAAAUAAACAAAAGAGAGAGCAGCUGGAACACUUGUGGAAGGACAUGGGCAGCGUGUGUGUGCAGGGCAGCACACUGGCAGAAUUGCCACGAGAGGAAAUACUUCAGAGGGGCUUCCCUCCAGCUAAGCCCUGAAUAUGCCAGGAGGUUUCAGCCGGGAGGAAAGGAGCUGUGGAAGAAAAGCAGCCUAAAAAUAGCCAGCGGGGAUCAUCAGGUUUUCCAGCCAAGAAGAACAAGGAGAGAGAUGAGGGAAUCGGGUUCCAAUUCCUAAUGAUUUGGUGGGUGCAGGAAUGAUUUGUGUGUGUUUUCCAGUCCCUUUUGAUUCCUGAGAUGAUUUUAAAAUGAUGGCUUUAGCAAUCAACUAAAUCGGAGAUGUUGUUUUUGAGAGGAAAUGAUGCCAAAUAAAUGCAGAGUUUUGGGUCA